AACGAACGCUGGCGGCAUGCCUAACACAUGCCAGUCGAACGAAGCCUUCGGGCUUAGUGGCGCACGGGUGCGUAACGCGUGGGAAUCUGCCCCUUGCUUCGGAAUAACAGUUAGAAAUGACUGCUAAUACCGGAUGAAGUCUUCGGACCAAAGAUUUAUCGGCAAGGGAUGAGCCCGCGUAGGAUUAGGUAGUUGGUGGGGUAAAGGCCUACCAAGCCGACGAUCCUUAGCUGGUCUGAGAGGAUGAUCAGCCACACUGGGACUGAGACACGGCCCAGACUCCUACGGGAGGCAGCAGUGGGGAAUAUUGGACAAUGGACGCAAGUCUGAUCCAGCAAUGCCGCGUGAGUGAUGAAGGCCUUAGGGUUGUAAAGCUCUUUUACCAGGGAUGAUAAUGACAGUACCUGGAGAAUAAGCGCCGGCUAACUCCGUG
rnacentral:rRNA from 1 species